rnacentral:lncRNA from 1 species
AUGGCCGGGAGCGGAGAGGCAAGCUACCCACAGCACUGGAGGGAUGUACGAGCGUGGAGCAUAGAGAAGAGACAGAACCACAGAAUGUGGGUCUUGGAUGUGGAGGCUGUCCUCAGGUCCAUGGCCAGACAGCUGGAAGCUUCUCUGGAGAAAUAUCCUCGCUGUGGGACUGGAGACAGCCCAGGGGUUCCUCCACCGCCCCUCUGCCCCAGCAGCUCCCUCUCCAGUCACACUAAGUGAUCUACUUUGGAGGUUUUACGUAGAUUUCAUUCGGCACCAGAGAUUUCGCAUUUAAGUUUGUCUUCUUUAUCUUCUUAUUUAGAACAUUAUGCGUAAAUUUCAGCAAACAGGAGCUUCACCAAAUCAGCAACACUGAAAAGACAUUACAUGCAGCUGUAGUUUGGCUCCAGCUUGCUCUGAUAACCUUCACGGGCUUCAGCCGCUCGUCGGAUGACGUCGUCUCGUAAGCUGCUCUGCAACGUUCAGCGCAGGAAAGUCAUUUCACACCUGAAUGUGUCUUCCCUCAUCCGUCACCGAGGACGCUUGCAGCUUCCCUAACUUUCUGCACCCGUCAGACCAGAAAUAAACCGUAAUGCAGUGCACGCGGUGCUUGGUGC